rnacentral:rRNA from 1 species
GUGCCAGCAGCCUGCGGUAAUUCCAGCUCCAAUAGCGUAUAUUAAAGUUGUUGUGGUUAAAAAGCUCGUAGUUGAACCUUGGGCCUGGCUGGCCGGUCCGCCUCACCGCGUGCACUGGUCCGGCCGGGCCUUUCCCUCUGUGGAACCCCAUACCCUUCACUGGGCGUGGCGGGGAAACAGGACAUUUACUUUGAAAAAAUUAGAGUGCUCCAGGCAGGCCUAUGCUCGAAUACAUUAGCAUGGAAUAAUAAAAUAGGACGCGCGGUUCUAUUUUGUUGGUUUAUAGGACCGCCGUAAUGAUUAAUAGGGACAGUCGGGGGCAUCAGUAUUCAACUGUCAGAGGUGAAAUUCUUGGAUCAGUUGAAGACUAACUACUGCGAAAGCAUUUGCCAAGGAUGUUUUCAUUAAUCAGGAACGAAAGUUAGGGGAUCGAAGACGAUCAGAUACCGUCGUAGUCUUAACCAUAAACUAUGCCGACUAGGGAUCGGACGGUGUUAUUCAUGACCCGUUCGGCACCUUACGAGAAAUCAAAGUGCUUGGGCUCCAGGGGGAGUAUGGUCGCAAGGCUGAAACUUAAAGAAAUUGACGGAAGGGCACCACCAGGGGUGCAGCCUGCGGCUUAAUUUGACUCAACACGGGGAAACUCACCAGGUCCAGACACAAUAAGGAUUGACUGAUUGAGAGCUCUUUCUUGAUUUUGUGGGUGGUGUGCAUGGCCGUCUAGUGGUGGGGGUGACUGUCUGCUUAAUUGCGAUAACGAACGAGACCUUAACCUGCUAAAUAGCCCGCAUUGCUCCGGCAGUGCCGCUGGC